ACGUAGGCAGCAAGCGUUGUUCGGAGUUACUGGGCGUAAAGGGUGCGUAGGCGGUCCUGUAAGUAUGGUGUGAAAUCUCCCGGCUUAACUGGGAGGGUGCGCUAUAGACUGCGGGACUAGAGGGUGGGAGAGGAAAGUGGAAUUCCUGGUGUAGCGGUGAAAUGCGUAGAUAUCGGAAGGAACACCAGUGGCGAAAGCGGCUUCCUGGUCCAGCACCGACGUUCAGGCACGAAAGCGUGGGGAGCAAACAGGA
rnacentral:rRNA from 1 species